rnacentral:snRNA from 1 species
GUCACAUUUUCUGGUGAGUUGCAAUACAGAGAAGAUUAGCAUGGCCCUUGUGCAAGGAUGAUACUCAAAGCUGCCCAGCAUUUCUGAUCCUU